rnacentral:rRNA from 1 species
UACGGAGAGUGCAAACGUUGUUCGGAUUCACUGGGCGUAAAGGGCACGUAGGCGGCUCGGCAAAUCAGUCGUGGAAUCCCGACGCUUACCGUCGGAACGGCGGCUGAAAAUACCGGGCUUGAGGGCGUGAGGGGUCACUGGAACUCCUGGUGAAGCGGUGAAAUGCGUAGAUAUCAGGAGGAACGCCGGAGGCGAAAGCGAGUGACUGGCGCGUUCCUGACGCUGAGGUGCGAAAGCUAGGGGAGCAAACAGG